AUUGAACGCUGGCGGCAGGCCUAACACAUGCAAGUCGAACGAGUGGCGGACGGGUGAGUAAUGUCUGGGAAACUGCCUGAUGGAGGGGGAUAACUACUGGAAACGGUAGCUAAUACCGCAUACCAUCAGAUGUGCCCAGAUGGGAUUAGCUUGUUGGUGGGGUAACGGCUCACCAAGGCGACGAUCCCUAGCUGGUCUGAGAGGAUGACCGGCCAGACUGGAACUGAAGCAGGGUCCGUAGUCCUAGGGGGGGCAGAAGUGGGUAAUAUUGCACAAUGGGCGCAAGCCGGAUGCAGACAGGCCGGGUGUAUGAAGAAGGCCUUCGGGUUGUAAAGUACUUUCAGCGGGGAGGCGUUACCCGCAGAAGAAGCACCGGCUAACUCCGUGCCAGCAGCCGCGGUAAUAC
rnacentral:rRNA from 1 species